rnacentral:sRNA from 1 species
CAGAGACCGCACACCAGUGCCGUGCGAUGGGCCUUUCUGCUACUUCAUUCGUGUGAGGAUUUCUGGGGCCACAGUGAGGUAGAACGUUGAUGCCUGCUCCAAGGCAAAGGAGGAAGAAGUUGGCAAAACUGUUGAUUUGCAUGACAGCUGAAAUGUAAAUGCUUUGUUAAAAAUAUGUGAUGUGGAAGCUUCUUAAAGGGGGAUAUGUCCAUUUUUAUUCUACCUUUUAAAUUUCUGAGGAAGCCAAGGCACUUGUUGGGGCUAAGUAUGUGAUUGAUAAAGCACCAUCUCUCUUCCUGUUUUCCCCAAAGGCAAAGAGGAUGAUUGUUUUGAUCGGAAAUCAGUGUACCGAGGCUCGCUGACACAGAGAAACCCCAAUGCGAGGAAAGGAAUGGCCAGCCACACCUUCGCGAAACCUGUGGUGGCCCACCAGCCCUAACAGGGGACAAGACAGAGAGACAGAGCAGCCCUGCACUCUUUUCCCUCCACCACAGCCAUCCUGUCCCUCAUUGGCUCUGUGCUUUCCACUGUACACAGUCACCAUUCCAGUGAGAAACAAGAAGGAGCACCCUCCACAUGGACUCCCACCUGCAAGUGGACAGCAACAUUCAGUCCUGCACCGCUCACCUGGGUUUACUGAUGACUCCUGGCUGCCCCACC